rnacentral:tRNA from 1 species
GCGGCGAUGGCGAAAUUGGUAGACGCACUACCUUGAGGUGGUAGCGCUCACACAACGGGCGUGUCAGUUCGAAUCUGAUUCGCCGCA